CUAACACACUUCCACAUACACUGUUCUGAUGAAGAACGGUUCAAUGAUGAGAAGGCCUACUUGAUCGAACAAAUCAAGGAGUUGAAGCCUCUGCCAGAACACUAACAUUAGGUUGCGUUUGUGUAAGGCCGCCGCCCUCUUGUACAGUAUUGCACAUGUAUAGUCACCACCUUCCCUCAUCAGGAGUGUUACUUCUUUUUAAAUUCCUUUUUGUUUCAAAUAAUCCAAUAUGAUAUAUAGUAAAAAUAGGAUGAUUUAACCUUUGAGGUAAGUCCGUUAAUAAAAUUGUUUUAGUAAAUAUUAGAUUUAGUUAUAUUUUAUUUAUAUUAAACUCCUCGGUUUUAUCUAUAUGAAUUUUUGGUGAAAUCCCAACUUUGAUUGUAUAUAGUUAAAGGUGUUGUAAAGCUGUUGAUAGAAAGGUUUUGUUUUAAUUAUACUUUUCACAACCAAACGAUUAAUUUUAACAUUUUGUGUUAACAUUUAGACCGAGCUUGAAGGAGUUACACCUUCUCUAAGAAGUUUAUUUCUGUUAUUUUUUUAUGUAUAUAGUCCAGGAUGGGAUGGUGGUUUAAUCAGCCGUCUCAAUCACCUAUACUGUUCCUGGUGCUGCUAAAUUUGGUUUAUGUUAUGGAAAAAGUUAUAAGUGUAAAUACUGUCGAUGUUCACUUCAUGAAUAGUUAUGUAAAGCGAUCACUGAUUUUAUGUAAUUUUAUCAAGUGAAUUAUCUUUUAUUUGUUAGCUGCUAAUUGAAUCCUAUUUUUUAGUAAUAAUUUACUAGGAAAUUGUUUCCUGUUUUCUAUGUUGUGUUAAGUUUGAUUUUAAAACAUGAUUUUGUUAGAUUUGAUAUCCCACCUGGUAAAGUGUGUGGACAAUUGAAUAGUAAAAACUUUUCAAGAUGUUUGGAGUAAGUUGUGUUAGCGUAAAUUCCAUAACCUGAUGAAAUAAUUAACGUCAUUAAACAUUGAAUUUAGUUUGUGUUCACAACAAAUAAUAUUUUAGUAGAAACAAUGUUAACUAUAGAUACCAGCAAAUAAGUUGUUUUGUAUCUAAAGUACGUUAUUACUUACUAACUUUAAAGCUAGUGCAAGUCCGAAACAUUCUAACAUAAUACGAGAUAAAUAUGCACAAUUCUUUGUGAAACCAUUUAAGCUACAAACUAUUUCAAUGUAACGUUUCUGAAUUUUUCACUGUUUCUAUCAAUUUUAAACUUUUCUAACGUAUUUUGCUUUGUAAGCACACACCUUUUUGUUGUAUAAAUGUUAGUCUCUGGAUUCUCUUCAUGUGACUGUUUCAUAAAAUAUUAUAACAAGGGAAAAACUUAUGUUAAAAUAAUUAAGAAUAUCCUUGUUCAAAAUAAUUAUUUCAAUGUAUUCUGUAACAUAUGUAAAGGCUCAAUAGUAAAAGGCUAUUAAGCAACUGAUGUAUUACUUUGGAAAAUGAAUAUAAAGGUUCAAUAAAUGUUGAAGAAAUCA